UUGCACGCUGGCGGCAUGCUUUACCCCUGCCAGUCGAACGGUAACAGGCCGCAAGGUGCUGACGAGUGGCGAACGGGUGAGUAAUGCAUCGGAACGUGCCCAGUCGUGGGGGAUAACUACUCGAAAGAGUAGCUAAUACCGCAUACGAUCUAUGGAUGAAAGCGGGGGACCGUAAGGCCUCGCGCGAUUGGAGCGGCCGAUGUCAGAUUAGGUAGUUGGUGGGGUAAAGGCUCACCAAGCCAACGAUCUGUAGCUGGUCUGAGAGGACGACCAGCCACACUGGGACUGAGACACGGCCCAGACUCCUACGGGAGGCAGCAGUGGGGAAUUUUGGACAAUGGGCGCAAGCCUGAUCCAGCAAUGCCGCGUGCAGGAAGAAGGCCUUCGGGUUGUAAACUGCUUUUGUACGGAACGAAACGGCUCUGGUUAAUACCCGGGGCUAAUGACGGUACCGUAAGAAUAAGCACCGGCUAACUACGUG
rnacentral:rRNA from 1 species